AACGAACGCUGGCGGCAUGCCUAACACAUGCAAGUCGAACGAGACCUUCGGGUCUAGUGGCGCACGGGUGCGUAACGCGUGGGAACCUGCCCUUAGGUUCGGAAUAACUCCCCGAAAGGGGUGCUAAUACCGGAUAAUGUCUUCGGACCAAAGAUUUAUCGCCUUUGGAUGGGCCCGCGUUGGAUUAGCUAGUUGGUAGGGUAAAAGCCUACCAAGGCGACGAUCCAUAGCUGGUCUGAGAGGAUGAUCAGCCACACUGGGACUGAGACACGGCCCAGACUCCUACGGGAGGCAGCAGUGGGGAAUAUUGGACAAUGGGCGAAAGCCUGAUCCAGCAAUACCGCGUGAGUGAUGAAGGCCUUAGGGUUGUAAAGCUCUUUUACCCGGGAUGAUAAUGACAGUACCGGGAGAAUAGGCUCCGGCUAACUCCGUG
rnacentral:rRNA from 1 species